UGGUCAGUCCCCCAUCGGGCCACUAGGAGGAUGGUGAGGAACAGCCGGCGCUGCUGUGGCUGCAGGUCUGAAAAGAACUGUGUUUGGUAUGCAGAUAUGCUAGAAGACUGCCCGAGAGCUGCUUCCUUUGCCACUUCCUGUGGAGGCCGGGCUUUGCCAUUUGCGGUUUCUUUCUUCUUUUGGUCAGCACCUUACAAGGAGGUAGUGACCUGUCCAGGGGUGAAACUGGGAAAGAAUCGAACUUGUCUAUCAGGGAAACAUGUCCCGUAGGAAACAGACAAAUCCAAAUAAAGUUCACUGGGAUCAAGUAUUUGCUGGGUUAGAAGAACAAGCCCGACAGGCAAUGAUGAAAACCGAGUUUCCUGGAGACCUUGGCAGU
rnacentral:lncRNA from 1 species